rnacentral:misc_RNA from 1 species
GAAAUGCGAUAAGUAAUGUGAAUUGCAGAAUUCAGUGAAUCAUCGAAUCUUUGAACGCACAUUGCGCCCGCCAGUAUUCUGGCGGGCAUGCCUGUUCGAGCGUCAUUUCAACCAUCAAGCCCCCGGGCUUGUGUUGGGGACCUGCGGCUGCCGCAGGCCCCGAAAACCAGUGGCGGGCUCGCUGUCACACCGGGCGUAGUAGAUUUUUCGUCUCGCCCAGGGCGUGCUGCGGGUUCCGGCCGUUAAAAAGCCUCUCUUUUAACUCAAGGUUGACCUCGGAUCAGGUAGGAAGACCCGCUGAACUUAAGC